CCCAGAGAGAGAGAGAUGGCUUCUGCAGUGGCAGUUGCUGCCGCCUUCAGAGACAGUUGGCAGCGCAGUUGGGCAGCAGCCAUCUUAGGAGGACAGAACAGCAACUUGUAGCAGAGGCAGCUGCUGGUGUGUGACAGGAGUGCUGUACAGCUUAUGAAAAGCCAGAUUCUAGUCCCAGUGACCGGAGAUCUUCAUUGUAGCAGCCAGUCAGUAAUGUCAGCCUCCUGUGGGGAUCCCACUGUUUCAAAUGGUGCUGGCUGCCAGGCAUCUGACAGAGCAGAACAGUGAUGGGCUCUACUGACUGUGUAGCUGGAAACUAGGCCAUGCAGCCUACCCUCCCUUUUGAAGGACAGCCCUGGAGGUAGACCUGCUUUGGAGUAACAGAUGGUGGGAGGAGCAGAGACAGUGUCUUGCAGCAGCUGCAGACAGAGGUCAGCUUAUGAUGGUUAAUUGAGGCCAACCUAACCCUUGAACACAGACAGAGUAAAAGUGUAUUAUGGCUUUCACCCGUGGAUGGCAAAGAACAGAAAGAAUGCGCCCAGCAGAGCCUCAAGAAAUUGGCUGUUAUACAGAGAUUUUUGGCAUCUUCAAGAACACAACAAAUAUGAAUGGAAAAGAGUCACUCUUGAGAGAGCCUUGGAUAUAACGUAGUUGGAUACUUGAAUAUUCUGUAAAUAUAUAGAUUAUACAUCUAAUGCAUGGAGAGACUCACCAGUGGUGUGUUUAUGCAGGCAAUUCCUACAGCUGGGAGACCAUAGGAAGGCACCAAGGAUCCAAACAAUGCACAGAAAGAGGAACUUUGAAGAGGUUGGCCGAACCAUUCCUAGAUCGCUGUCAUCUAUGCUAUGGCACUGGGCAUAAGAUGAGAGCCCUAUCCUCCUAGAAGUGUAAUGAGAAGUAACUUCUUGGACAACGCAUGGUGCCCGUGCGACAGAGGGUCAUCAGCUAGCCUAACCCUUCUCAGACAUGCUCCCUGUCCCAGUCAAUCAGACCUUCAGUGUAUAUAUGCUUACAUAACCUUAUUGCAGUGCAAAUGGUCACAGAUAUAGUAUAUUUGUACAAUUAGAAUAUGUGAAAAUGAUAUCAAUAUGUGGCUGAUGCAAAGCUGAACAAAAGACAGCUGUACUUGCUCCUGCUUUGUGUAAAUGGGACUGAGGGCCUUAUUCAGGUAGCAUCGUAAGCGCAAUGCGAAUACAAUUUUUUAGAUUGUCCCGCAUUGUGCACGUGCAGGUCUCGUCCUGUGUGUGUACACGCAGUUAAUGCGGUUGGCUCGCAUUGACUUCGAACGCCUCUCCCAGGCAGAAGCGCUCGUGGGGUGGACAAGAGGUGUUCAUGGACUGUUGCAGGGCCUUGCAGGGAAAAUGGGGGUGGGUCAACGGGGGUGGCUGCGGGACGUUACACGCAGCCACUCCAAACGAAAAGAUGGUGGCGGGACUCCUGCCUUCGCAGCCAGGCUGCGCCGACAGAAAGAUCCCUAGUUUCUGCAACCACGCAUGAAUUGCUGUGCGAACACAAUUAGAGCGUCGUCGCAGUUGGAGGGCGGCGGGUAGCAUGCUGGCAGCCUUGCCCUGCGAUGGGCGGCCUCCGGCAUGCAAAAAAUCACAUUGCAAAUUCUGCUUUUUUAGCAGAAUUUGCAAUCCGUACUGAAUAGGGUCCUGAAUGCACUUAUUCGCCUGUAUGCAGAUUUAUGCAAAUCUCUGCAGUCUGACCACCUCAUAUAUGUAUCUGUAUGUCGUCAUUAUCAGUAUGUACUUGCCAUAGCCGUAUCUUGGAUCAAAAAAUACGUCUGUAAAUAGGCUUUAUUAUGCUUCUGUACAUUUCUGCAUAGCUCUUAAUUCCGUUGACACACCCUAAAAUGAAUUGUUAAUCUAGCACUUUUUUGUAGCACAUAAUAAUUAUUAUUUUUUUACUAAUGUAACACUAUUUAACACUCCGCACACAUCGCUAUAUGUUAACCUUACUGGCAUGCUCGGCGCCUGCAGUCUGGGAUUGCCAUUGUCGCUGUCUGCUGCCAAUCCUGCAUACUAACCCAUAUGACUCUGCAUAGCCUGUAGUUGCAUACACUUGGUUACAGAGCAUGUGCAGUGCAUAAAACGUGUGAUUUGCUCCACAGAUGGACUAGUGUUAAAAGUAGGAUCAGCCGUUAUACCUAACAUUUGAUGAUGUAUCCUACUACCUAACAAAGAAAACAAAUAUGUAUUAUAAAGAUCAGCUUUUAUUUAUAUUAUAUCCUUUUACCCUGUGCUAUUUCCCCUGCCUUCACCGGGGCCGACAACCCUGCAUCAUAUGGUUUUCUUUAAAGUUGUGUACGUACAGAGGCCCUCAUUCCGAGUUGAUCGCUCGCUAGCUGCUUUUAGCAGCACUGCAAACGCUAAGCCGCCGCCCUCUGGGAGUGUAUCUUAGCUUAGCAGAAGUGCGAACGAAAGGUUGGCAGAACUGCACAGGAAACAUUUCAUGCCGUUUCUGAGUAGCUCCAGACCUACUCCUAUCUUGCGAUGACUGCAGUCCCUUUAGUUCCUGGUUUCACGUCACAAACACGCCCUGCGUUCGACCAGCCACU